UUUGCUCUCAACAUUUGGUUAAGCAACAUAAAAGCUUCCUUCCACCUGCUUGACAUACACAGACCACGGAUUAAGGUGUUGUAGGUCACAAACAUCAGGUAAGAUACCUUUGCUCUUUAUUUUGAAGAAGAGGUCUAAUGCCUCAGUAACAAAUCUAUCCUUGCAGAGGCUGUCAAAGAUAGCAUUAUAUGACACCAAAUCCGGCUCACAACCUUUCUCCACCAUUCUUUUCAGAAUACCAAAGGCAACAGUGGUUUUCCCAAUUUUACACAGACCAUUCACAAUCACAUUAUAGGUAUAAACAUUGGGUUGAUACCCUUUUUCAACAAUAUCAUCAAACAAAUCCACAGCUUCACCAAAUUUGUCCUCCCUACAAAGCCCAUGGAUUAAGGUAGUAAGCGUUACAAUGGUAGGCUGAAAACCAAGUUUGAAGAUUUUUCCCCGUAAGAGAGUACCCAAAAUCCACACGGUCUAGAUGGCAGAAGCAAUUAAUCAAAAUAUUAAAAGAAUAGAUAUCAUGUGAAAUUCCAAACAUUUCCAUCUGUUUAGACAGAGAAAUGACAGUAGCAUAAUGUUUCAUUCGAACAAGUGCAGAUAAUAUUUUAUUGAGUUCCAAAUAUUUCGAGUUCGAGUCACCAAUGUUGUGGAAUGAAUCAGAUUUGCUUUUACCUCUCAAAUGAGUACUGCUUUUAGAACUACUAAAAGAAGCGGAACCAAAAAUACCCAUUGGCUGACGAAGCCAAUUAGUAAGGCAUCUCCGGCUGCUAGCUAACAUCAUCGAUUAUCUGCCUCUGCGUAAAAGAACCAGUCGGAAAAUUGGCUAAAGGGAAUCUUGCUCUCGUAAUCUCACCAAAUAUUUUGGUUCAAUGGUGAAUGGAUCGGGUCACAACAUCACGGAACCAGUCCAUAACUUAUAAUAUUUUAUUAAAUUAAUAAAUAAAGAAAAAGGAACUUGGUUCCAUUUUUUUAAAUUAAUAAAUUAAUAAAUUAGUAAGCUUUUUUUUUUUUUUUUUUUUUUUGUUUCAAAGGGACUUGGUUAUUUAUCAAAGUUCCAUUUAAUACGCUUUAUUUAUCAAGUUCUAUAAAUUCGUAAAAGAGUGAGAAAUUGAAUGAAAUAUAAAAUUAAUGAAAGUAUAAAAUUUUAAGAUUAAAUAUCCUUCAAAUCAACUUGGUUUUGAGCAUGCGAAAAUUAAAGGCUACGAAAUAAUAUUUUAAGAUUAAACUAAAAUAAGCCUGAUGAUGAUUCAUAAUCAGCUCAAAUACACCAUUCAUAUACAAACCAAAAAUAAAAUAAUAAAUAAUAAAAAUAAAAUUGAAACCUACCAUGAUUUGUGUUGGGCUCCAAUUUUCUAUUGGAAGGUAUAUUAUUAGAUUUGGAAUAUAAGGAUGUGGUGUUGCACGUUUACAUAAUAUAUAAAAGCAAACAAGUCUAUUUUAAAUGAUAGUCAAGUAUAAAUCUCUAAAAUUAUCAAUUGUAAGAAGAGUAGUUAGUUAGCAUAAUGGUAAGAAGAUAAAUUAUUUUAUAAUUUCAAAUAAUGUCAUAUACAAGGAAGAAAAAAAGAAAGGAAAAGAAAAGAAAACUAAUAUUAAUAAGCAAAAACAAUUUUAUUUGGAAAUAAGAAAGGAAUGUAAGAGAGAAUUUUUUUUUUAUAUAAUUGUCUCUUUAAAUUAGAAAGAAAAUAAAAAACCUAUAAAAAUAAAUUUGUAGAGAAAAAUUAAUUUUAUUUUUCUUUUAUAUCCAAAAAAAAAAAGUAACAUAAAUUUAUUCCAAAAAAACCUUAUUUUCUAUAUAAUAUAUAAAAAUAGAGAAGUCUACCUUGUGACAGCCAAGUGUCUCUCAAAUUGAUAUGGGUAAAGAGAGCAAUUAUUUGGCAUAAUUGUAAGAAUCUAACUUGUAAUGGACAUCAAUUGUAAGAAGAUAAGUUAUUUUAUAUUUUCAAAUAAUAUCAUAUAGGAGAAAAAAAAAGAAAAAAAAACUAAAUUAAUAGGAAUAAGCAAAAACUAUUUUAUUUGGAAAUUAAAAAAAAUAAGAAAAAAAAAUUCCCAUAAUUUUCUCUUUAAAUUAGAAGAAAAAUAAAAAACUAUAAAAAUAAAUUUAUAAAGAAAAUUUUAUUUUAUUUCUUUUUAUAUCCAAAAAAAAUAAGUAACAUAAGUUUUUUUCGAAAAAAAAUUAGUUCCUUCAUAUUUUUUUUCUUAAAUUUAGUUCUAAAAAAUGUUAGUAUUCAACGAAUUGGCCAGACCUAAUUUCUUUUUAUUCCAUGUUCAUGAGUUUUUUAAUUCAAUAAAAUCUCUCUCCUUUUUUGAGUUACGGUUUGAUGAAAAUUGAUCAUUGAAACUUUUUACUCUCUGCGUUUUCUUUCCUCUCUUAAUUUUAUUUUUCUUUCAUAUCCAAAAAAAUAAAUAAUAGAAGUUUUUUCUGAAAGGAAAUUUAGUUCCUUCUUAUUUUUUCUGAUCAUUCAAUAAUAAAAAAAAGAAACAAAAACAAAUUUAAAAAAAACAAUUCAUUUUUUCUUGGUAUUAAAAAAAACCUUGGUUGAUUAGCUUAGUUUAUGGAGUAGUCUCAUAUACUAAAAACUAGGUUCCAUGGACAUGAGACAUGAGAAAUAGGAACAUACGCGAUAUGAAUAAUUUUUUAAAAAAGUAAGAUAUCCACACGCUUAAGAUACUCUAUACUGAAUAAAUAAAUAAUUAUUUAUAAUAAAUUAUAAACAUAAAAUAAAAAAUACUUAAUUUCUUAUUUCAAUACAAUUAGUUAAAUUCUCAAAAUUUGAUAUCACUAUUAAAAAAUACAUUAAUAGUGUGUGUAUUUUUUGAUGCAAGUCAGGGAAGGAUCCAAGAGUGUGCCAAGGGGGCAAUGAGCCCCUUUGAAAUUUAAAAAAAAAUUUAAAUAUUCAAUAUUUUUGGUAAAAUGCAUAAAUUAGUCCAUGAAUGCAUAAAUUAAAUUUUUAUUUAUCAAUUUUAAACUCUAUAACUUUAAUUUUGGUAAAAAGAUGGUCAUUUCUAAUGGAAAUUUUAUGGCAUUGACUGAAAAAAUAACCUAACUAUGAACUUACAUAAAUUCUAUUCUUUUAAUAAGAGAAAAAUUUAAUUUUGACAUAUAGAAUAAUAAAAAGGAAAGAAAAGAAAUAAAUAAGGCAAAUGUUGUAAAAAAUUAUUUAAUAAAUUUUAGACUCAAGUUUUUCAAUUUUACAUUCCAAAAUUUUCUCAACAAUAAAAUAAGUUGUGAAGUCUAUAUAAAACGUUUUUGUAAUUAAGGUCUUUAAUUUUUAUCAUAUUAGCUGCACAAAAUUUUCAAUGAAUAGAAGAUUAGAAAUUUUCAAUGGAUUUUUAUUUUCUUUCUCCAAUAAUGUUCUUCAAUUUAUAAUUGGGCCCCCUCAACCAAUUUUUUAGGCAUGUCCCUGAUGCAGGUCAUACUAGGGAGUGUCAAAAUAGAUCAUAAUACGCAAACACAAAUCGUCUAACAUGGGAAAUGAAUAGAUUAAGGUUGAGGUUAAACGAGUUCGUAUCAUAAACGAGUCAUCCAUUUAUGAUGCGAAUAUUAAUGUCUCGUGUCGCGAAUUAACACGCGGGUUAGACAAGUGACCCCUUGAUUUAAGAAAAUUUAUGAACGAAAAUUUAUUUUUAAAUAUGGUUGGAGUUAAAUAGUUUGAAAUUUAAAAAUAUUAUAAGCAGGUUAAAUGAGUCGUAUGCAGGUCAACACGACCCACUUAAUCUGUUUAUAAUAUUAAGCGGGUUACAAGGGUUGUAUAUGGGUUAACACGACUCACUUAAGCUGCUUAUGAUAUUCGGUGGUUAUACGUGUUGUAUUCGUGUCACCUGCCUAAUUUUCGUAUCGUGUUUGUAUUGAUAAAUUUAAUACAAUUAUUAAAUUGGUCGUAAGAUUGACCCUAAUCAUGUCACGUGUUAGGCGAAUCCAUGUCGAACCUAACACGCAACCAAUUUUGACACCCCUAGGUCAUGUCAUGUAUGACUUUUGCUAUUGCAUACUUUGGUAAAAAGCUUGGCAGGAUACUUAAGAAGACACAUCUUAGUAUUGCAACUUUUUUUUAGCAUACCUUAAUGAGAUACAAUUUUGUAAUGCAUUUCAUAAUCAUUUUGUUAUACAAUUUUAUUAUUUUUGAAUGAUGUUAUAAAAGAUUAUUUCAUCGUUUAAUAUUACUCCGUGCAUCGUGUGGGUUCUAACAAAAUGCCUUAACAAUGUGCAUUGUCGUUCCAUCGAUUAUGAGAGAUAGGCUAAUAAAUUGCCUUAGCAAUGAAGAGAGGUGGGUUGCCUUUGUUGGACCAUAUGAGCACCACCCGAACCUUCUUUCACGGCGGGAGAGCUUAACUGAAGUUAGGCCUGGCCACGAUUCCGGAAUCACCAGUUCCGGUUCCAAAACCACUUGUUCCGGUUUAAAAAAUUUAGAAUCGAAACCGAAUCAAAAAUUGACAGUUCCGGUUAUGGUUUGGAACCGAACAGUUACAGUUCUGGUUCUGGUUCUUCAACUGUUUCAAAAAUGACGAUUUCAGUCGGUUCUCUAAUCGGUUUUUCAGCGAAUCGCAUAAUUGUAAAAUAAAAAAGUAGAGAACAUUUUUUUUGAAAAUUGAAAAUUUAAAAAUUUAUGAAAUAAUUUAUAAAAAAAAUACUCUUAAAAAAUUAAAAAAUUCUUGAACUUAAUUUACUUUUUUUUAAAAAGACUUGAACUUAAUUUAAAAAAAAAAAAAAAAGACUUGAACUUAAUCUUUUUUUUUAAAAAAAAAGUCUUCAACUUAAUUUGUUUUUUGUUUAAAAAUGCCUAAAUUUAAUUUAUUUAUAUUAGUCGAGAGUGAAAUCGAAGAUAUCGUUUGUAAGGAUAAAUGAAUAUUGUCUUUCUCCAAUCUUUCUCUUGCCCUUAGCGGAACUUAAGUUUCCUCUACUUGCCAUUACGGGAAAAUAAUAUGUAACUUGGAAAAUUGAAUAAAAAAAAUUAGAGAGAAUAAUUAGAGAUUAAAAUUUGAAGAAAUUAAUUCGCAAUAAUUUGGACAAAUAAUUUGAGAUUGGAUUUUGAAGAAAUUAUUUGAAUAUUUUGGACAAUAAUAUAUGAAUGAAAAUUAGAAAAUUGUAGAGUAGAGAUUAUUUUGCAUGAGAGGAUUGUAAAUGGAAUGAGGUAUUUAUAAUAAAUCCAAAAAAUCAAUUUUCCAGAAAUACCUUUGAAAUUAGCCGUGUUUAGUUUUUAGGAUGGGUAAUUUGGGGAUUUCAAAAACUAUCUGAAAAAAAAUGCUUGUUCCAACUUAAUAUUCAAAAUUUACUUGGAAUCGCCGGUUCAAAUCGUCGGUUGUAACUAGCUGAAAAAACCGUCUGUUCCGGACGGUUCUGGGAACCGCUGGUUCACAUUUCCAAAAUUGGUGGAACUAGAACCGAACCAUAAGCCACCGAUUCCGGUUCUAAUUUGGACUGGUUCCGGUUCCCACCGGUUCGGUUUUGACAUAUAGAAUGAUAAAAAGGAAAGAAAAGAAAUAAAUAAGGAAAAUGUUGUAAAAGUUUAUUUAAUAAAUUUUAGACUCCAGUUUUCUAAUUUUACCCACCAAAAUUUUCUCAACAAUAAAACACAUUGUGAAGUCUAUAUGAAACGUUUUUGUAAAAACUGUCAUGUCAUGCAUGAUUUUUACUAUUGCAUACUUUGAUAAAAAGUUUGGCAGGAUAUUUAAAAAGACACAUCUUAACAUUGCAACUUUUUUUUAGCAUAUCUUAAUGAGAUACAAUUUUAUAAUGCAUUUCAUAAUCAUUUUAUUAUAUAAAUUUGUUAUUUUUCAAUUAUGUUAUAAAAUAUUAUUUCAUCGUUUAAUAUUGCUCCACGCAUCGCGUGAGUGCUUAUAAAAUGCCUUAGCAAUAUGCAUUGUCGUUCCAUCGAUUAUGAGAGAUAGGCUAAUAAAAUGCCUUAGCAAUGAAGAGAGGUGGGUUGUCUUUAUUGGACCUUUUGAGCACCACUCGAACCUUCUUUCAUGGCGGCAGAGUUUAGCUGAAGUUAGACCUGGCCAGGGUACUGGAACUGGAAGCAGUUCCAGAACCAACUGUUCUUGUUCCAAAAAUUUAGAACUGGAUUCGAACCGAAAAUUGACAGUUCCGGUUAUGGUUUGGAACCGAACGGUUACGGUUCUAUUCUAAUUCCUUAACAGUUCUAAAACUGACAGUUCCGGCCGAUUCUCUGACUGGUUUUUUAGCAAAUCGCAUAAUUGUAAAAUAAAAAAGUAGAGAACAUUUUUUUUUCAAAAUUUAAAAUUUAAAAAUUUAUGAAAUAAUUUAAAAAAAAACUCUUAAAAAAUUAAAAAAUGCUUCAACUUAAUUUUUUUUUUUUUAAAAAAGAAUUGAACUUAAUUUAUUUUUUUCAAAAAAAGUCUUCAACUUAAAGAGUAAGAUGCAAAUUUCAUUGUAAAAGCCUGCAACAAAAAAUUUGCCAAUUUAUUACAAGCUUUUGCAAUGAAAAUUGGACAGCAGAUUUUAACAAGUGAAAAGAAAAAACACUGCUACUUUUUUUUCUCUUGAUAGCAAACAAAAACAAUUAGUAUUACAACUUAUUGGCAAGGCCAGCUGCAGAGAAGUCUGUUACAGAUAUAAAUAUUGAAUUGCAGAAAAUAGAGACAAAUUUAAGUCAUAUAACCCAAAACAGGACAACAUCUCCUGUGACUGUAUAACUAUUGUUCUUUCUUAAAAUCUCACUUCAUCUUUACACCUUGAGAACUUUUAGAGCAGCUCAGAAGCUUUUUCACAAGCAGAUCAUUGUUUACUACCAACUCCAUGGUAGUCGCAUCUGCAGAAAACCCCUUGCCAACCAUUUCAUCAAUUAGUUCUGUUGCCAUGGACAAAUCAUUGUGUCGGAGAUAUCCUUGGAUAAUCACAUUAUAAGAGCAAUGAUCUGGUGAGCAACCAUUCCCUUCUAUUUUCCUGAAAACCUUUAAUGCUUCAUCUAAUAAUCCUUCUUUACAAAGUCCUUUGACCAUUAUAUUGUAUGUGAAAACAUUAGGCUGCAACCCUUCUAUGAAAAGUCUAGAAAACAAUUCCUUUGCAUCUUUAACCUUUCCAGCUUUGAACAGACCAUCAAUUAGAGUCCUACAGACAAUAAGGUUAGGCUUCAAUAAUUUCUUUUGCAUUUCAUGAAAUAGAUCCAAUGCAAUAUCAAGACAGGUAUGCUUACAAAAGCCAUCUAUCAAAACCGAGUACGCCACCACGUUGGGAGAAUAGCCACUGGCACACAAUUCCUUGAAAAACUUGUGUGCAGCCCAAGGGCUCUUUGCUUUACACAAGCCACGUAUAAGAGANNNNNNNNNNNNNNNNNNNNNNNNNNNNNNNNNNNNNNNNNNNNNNNNNNNNNNNNNNNNNNNNNNNNNNNNNNNNNNNNNNNNNNNNNNNNNNNNNNNNNNNNNNNNNNNNNNNNNNNNNNNNNNNNNNNNNNNNNNNNNNNNNNNNNNNNNNNNNNNNNNNNNNNNNNNNNNNNNNNNNNNNNNNNNNNNNNNNNNNNNNNNNNNNNNNNNNNNNNNNNNNNNNNNNNNNNNNNNNNNNNNNNNNNUGCAUCAUCAAUUUAACUGCACCAUGAGCUUUUGAAACCUUUCCUUCCCUACAAAGUCCAUCAACCAAUAUAUUGAAGGUAAUUAAAUCUGGUGAUAUGUUUGCUCUCAACAUAUGGUUAAGGAACAUAAAAGCUUCCUUCCACCUGCUUGACAUACACAAACCACGGAUUAAGGUGCUGUAGGUCACAACAUUAGGUAAGAUACCUUUGCUCUUUAUUUUGAAGAAGAGGUCUAAUGCCUCAGUAACAAAUCUAUCCUUGCAGAGACUGUCAAUGAUAGCAUUAUAUGGCACCAAAUCAGGCGCACAACCUUUCUCUACCAUCCUUUUCAGAAUACCAAAGGCAAUGUUGGUUUUCCCAAUUUUACACAGACCAUUCACAAUCACAGUAUAGGUGUAUACAUCAGGUUGAUACCCUUUUUCAACAAUAUCAUCAAACAAAUCCACAGCUUCACCAAAUUUAUCCUCCCUACAAAGCCCAUGGAUUAAGGUAUUAAGCGUUACAAUGUCAGGCUUCAAACCAAGUUUGAAGAUUUUACCGAUAAGAGAGUACCCAAAAUCCACAUGGUCUAGAUGGCAGAAGCAAUUAAUCAAAAUACUUAAAAGAAUAAAUAUCAUGUGAAAUUCCAAACAUUUCCAUCUGUUUAGAGAGAGAAAUGACAGUAGCAUAAUGUUUCAUUCGAACAAGUGCAGAUAAUAUUUUAUUGAGUUCCAUAACGGGAGGUGAGGGAUUACUACGAAGCAUCAAAUAAAAAGAAGCCAAAGCAUCAUGAAUGUUAUGGAAAGAAUCAGAUUUGCUUUUACCUCUCAAAUGAGUACUGCUUUUAAAACUACUAUAAGAAACGGAAUCAAAAAUACCCAUUGGCCGAUGAACCCGAAAAAUAGUAAGGCAUCUCCGGCUGCUGGUAGACAUCAGCGAUAUCUGCCUCUGCACAAAGCGAAAGAGAAGCAGUUUAUCUUCCUCUGCGUAAACAGUUU
rnacentral:lncRNA from 1 species